rnacentral:rRNA from 1 species
UGCCAGCAGCCGCGGUAAUACGGAGGGUGCAAGCGUUGUUCGGAAUCAUUGGGCGUAAAGCGCGCGCAGGUGGUCUGCCAAGUCUGGUGUGAAAGCCCAGGGCUCAACCCUGGAACUGCAUUGGAAACUAGUAGACUUGAGUCCGAGAGGGGCCUGUGGAAUUCCUGGUGUAGGGGUGAAAUCCGUAGAGAUCAGGAGGAACACCGGUGGCGAAGGCGACAGGCUGGAUCGGCACUGACACUGAGGCGCGAAAGUGUGGGGAGCAAACAGGAUUAGAUA